rnacentral:rRNA from 1 species
GUGGGGAAUAUUGGACAAUGGGCGAAAGCCUGAUCCAGCAAUGCCGCGUGAGUGAUGAAGGCCUUAGGGUUGUAAAGCUCUUUUACCAGGGAUGAUAAUGACAGUACCUGGAGAAUAAGCUCCGGCUAACUCCGUGCCAGCAGCCGCGGUAAUACGGAGGGAGCUAGCGUUGUUCGGAAUUACUGGGCGUACAGCGCACGUAGGCGGUUACUCAAGUCAGAGGUGAAAGCCCGGGGCUCAACCCCGUAACUGACUUUGAAACUAAGUAACUAGAAUCUUGGAGAGGUCAGUGGAAUUCCGAGUGUAGAGGUGAAAUACGUAGAUAUUCGGAAGAACACCAGUGGCGAGGGCGACUGACUGGACAAGUAUUGACGCUGAGGUGCGAAAGCGUGGGGAGCAAACAGGAUUAGAAACCCCAGUAGUCC